UGGGGAAUUUUGGACAAUGGACGCAAGUCUGAUCCAGCCAUGCCGCGUGCGGGAAGAAGGCCUUCGGGUUGUAAACCGCUUUUGUCAGGGAAGAAACGAGUUUCUCUAAUACAGAGACUUAAUGACGGUACCUGAAGAAUAGGCACCGGCUAACUACGUGCCAGCAGCCGCGGUAAUACGUAGGGUGCAAGCGUUAAUCGGAAUUACUGGGCGUAAAGCGUGCGCAGGCGGUUAUAUAAGACAGAUGUGAAAUCCCCGGGCUCAACCUGGGACCUGCAUUUGUGACUGUAUAGCUAGAGUACGGUAGAGGGGGAUGGAAUUCCGCGUGUAGCAGUGAAAUGCGUAGAUAUGCGGAGGAACACCGAUGGCGAAGGCAAUCCCCUGGGCCUGUACUGACGCUCAUGCACGAAAGCGUGGGGAGCAAACA
rnacentral:rRNA from 1 species